UCCCACUGAAGAAUCACACAAAUGUCUUACCUCCUGUCCUAGUCCCAGAACCUACAAAAGUAAAUUCACUUUUAAAUUCACUUUUGAAU
ensembl:snoRNA SNORD22 Small nucleolar RNA SNORD22